UUAGAGUCCUAUUUCAAAAAUUCCUUCAGAAGUUUUCGCAGCGAAUACAUUUGCACCUGUCAGUUCACAGGAACCUAUCACUGUCUUCCAGGAACAGAAAACAUCGGAAGUAAGUGUUGAUGGGGUUUUAUGACUCAUUGAAGCCCAGAGCUAUGCGAAACUGGCUUUAAUUUCUAAAAAUCAAUAAUUCUUUUAAGCGCUGUGUAUCUCUAAGUAUUCUUACCUUACUGGAGAAGUAAAUGUACUCAGUGUAAAAACUGAAAAUAGAUUUUCAUUCAAGCUUCGACUGAAGUAGUGUUUCUGCACACAGUUCUGCUAACAAAGCUCUGUCAUUCGGUUUAAGAGAAGCAGUUGUGUAACACAUUAAAGGCUGCAAUGGAAAUGAAAGACGAACCCAGACAGGAUUUGGCAGAGAGGAAUUAGGAUUUCAAAAUAAAACUGAAAACUUUUGGGAGUUGAAUCACAUAAUGCCAUGAAAUUUGUUUGUUUCAAAUUUCGCCCUCCUCUCUUUUAUUGUAAUAUAUAGAACCCAUUGUAUUUCACAGUCACUCAAUGGCUUAUGAGUCACCACACGAUUUCCUUCACACUGGAAGUCUUCUGUUUCAGUCAGAGAAAAGGAGUAGCAAUUUUUCUCUGUAUUUGUGUUGUCCUGCUUAGACCAUUUUGGAAAGCUACAAAAUGUUCUGGAUAAUAUAUCUUGAAUGAAAAGUUUUCCUGGCCUUUUUUCAGUUACUAUCAGCUUUUCAUGUAAAUUAUGUUAAUGAAAAUAAAAGCAAACUACAUAAUCAGUGUUCUAGCCUCACUGUCACAAUCAGGAAAAAAAUAUAUAGAUAUUUUAAUUUCACAUUUCAGAAGCCUGCAUUUGCACUGUUCAUUCCUCAGCUGAAGAAAUGUAACACAUACACAUCGUUUCACUUCUGCAUUCUCAUAAUUAACCUUCUUGUGGGCUGUUCUCAGAGGGUGGCUGCGUCCUUAGCUAUAUACGCAGAACCCUCUGUUACAGUUCCAAUAAGCCACCCUUUCACUGACACCAAGACAAGAUUCUCAGUUUGCCGUGCUGUCAGUAUUUACUUCUAGUCUACCAAUUGCUUUAACACUGUUAAUUGAUUUACUACUGAUUCUUCAUUACCAGAGAAGUGAUAAAAGAUCACAUGGGUACACUGUACGAGUGAGUUGCGCUUCUCUUGUAAGAUCACCUGCAGGCACCACAGAGGAUCUCAGCAGUUCUGUAGCAUUCAGUGUUCAUGCAUCUGGUAAUUAGAGCAAGAGUGAUGCUAAUAACAAAACCUGAUGAUGUGACAAGAAAGCAUCACUUUCCCAAGGUGUCUGUGAAUUUGUUAGGAUAUGGUUAAAAUCUUCAAACCAGUUGACGUGAGCUAAUUAAAGAAACAAUGAAAAGCGAAUGAAGCCAAGUAAUGUAUGUGUGUGUUGUUUUUUUUUUAAAUUAUGUUUGACUUCAAGUAAUCUCCAGAAGUCAGAAGAACAACGCUGCUAUUGCAAAAGAGAAUUUCUGUUUACUGUGGGAAAGAUAAUAAAGGGUUUUGAACAGAGUCCUGUGAAAAUGUGAUUGCAAAGGAGUCACGGAAAUUCAGAACCUUCUGAAAGAGUCAGGAGAUAUAGUUGGUUUGGUGAAGAGUUAAUUUCAUUACUCCGUUAAUCUUAUUUCUGAGCUUGUUUAACAGAAGCAGAUUUGCAAAUGACUUUGGAUUCAGCAGGAAGAUAAUUUUAUGGGGCACUUGGACUUGGAAGUAGGCGUUUUGCAGAUUAAAGCAUAUGGUGUUCGAAUCCUCCCUGUCUGUCAUCAGGAACAGAUGAUGCCAGCCCACUCAAGCCUUUAGGCUCUAUGGCACUUCGUAGAGUUUCUGCCUUUAGCUGAAUCUUACCAUUAUCGCUGAGAACCCUUAGAACUGCAACUAAAACUGCGUUGUUGUAUCAUGCCAUUCGAAGGAGAACUGAGUCCAUCUGUAUCCACUAAUUUUUAAAGUCAACAGGCCAGCAGUACCCAGUUAACCGAGAUGUCAACACUGUGGAGUUGUAGGUCAUAUUUCAUCAUCUAGAAGGAUACACUGCUGCCAGGCUUGCAGUUUUCCAUACGUGCACUCACACCUGCGUCCUCAAAUCUACUCACAGAAGAGGAAGGAGUUAAUGACUGCAACUGGCUGCAUGAACUCUCCAGCCUCUCCCAGGACUUCCCAAAGCAGAUGAUUUUUUUACGUCUCUGUGCCUGCAUUAAAGGGAAGGGCAAUAAGAAAAUGAGAUAAGCAUGUUUUCAAAACUCAAGCCAUAUCUACUUUGUGACAGAAUAAACCAAGCACCAUAACCAGAACAAACCAGUGACCAUGCUUCAGCUGCAUCUCAGACUGCCAGCCACUGCCAGGAAGGAGUGUCUGAAGGUGUUACAGUGGGUCAUCCUUGCUCGUCUUACACUGGCAGCAUAUAUGGAUUCGGAGUUGUGUCAUCGUUUUUUCAGAUCUGUCAUUAUGAAGGACAAAAUAAUGAAACUAUGACCUGUGAAUGGAGUGAAGCUCACCUUUGUGCUGCUCUGCCUUCAUCUGAAUGAAAUUCAACUGUUGGUUACGCUUUAAAAAGAAAAGGUUUUCCACUGUCUGAUCUCUUCAUUGGUCUGAAUCUGAACAGUGGUUCCUAACAGACUGAAGCUUCAAGGAGUGAACUUGGAAUCAGAACCACGCCUUGGAAAAUCUGGUCACUUGAGAUGGAAUAGAUAAUAAUCUUAAAAGUAUGUUUUUAUCCUUUUCAUUAAUUAUAUUUCUACAUUCUGGACCAAAUGACAUUCUGUAACUUCAGUGAACUCAAUGUUCGUUUUGACAUAACGUCUUCUCUUUUUGAGGUUCUCAUAUGCUUGUCUCUAAUAUUUAUUUUUAGAAAUGUAUAUCAAUUCUCUGCUUCUCUCUUAAGUCUGCUCUCCCAGAGCACCCCCAGCAUUGCUCAUGGCUCAGCUCUGGCAGCAGUAGGUCUCUUUUGGAGCAGCUGGAGCUGGGUUUGAUCUGACACAGAGCAGUGCUGGGCUCUGCUCACAGAGGACGCCCCUGCAGCUCCCUACUACUUAAACUUUGGCAGAUAAACCCAAGACAGCCAGAAAAAUUACUUUGCAGAUUUUGAUAC
rnacentral:lncRNA from 1 species